AGCUUAAAAGCUAGCCUACCUGAAGUUAAAAAAACUUAUACAUAAACAUAAAACUAACAACCCAAGAAAAUGAAACAAACCAUUUUUCCCCCUAAGUAUGGGAGACAGAAAAGGAAAACUAGAGCAAUAGAAAAAGUACCGCAAGGGAAAGCUGAAAGAGAAAUGAAACAAAUUAUUCAAGCCUAAAAAAGCAGAGGCUAAACCUCGUACCUUUUGCAUCAUGAUUUAGCAAGUAACCUUAGGCAAAGAGAACUUUAGUCUAAGCCCCCGAAACUAGACGAGCUACUCCAGGACAGCCUAUUAUAGGGCCAACCCGUCUCUGUGGCAAAAGAGUGGGAAGAGCUUCGAGUAGAGGUGACAAACCUACCGAGCCUAGUAAUAGCUGGUUGUCUAAGAAAUGAAUAGAAGUUCAGCCCUCAAGACUAUUCCUCCCCCACCACUCGUAACACAACAAUUGGCCCCAGGAAACUAGAGGAGUAAAUCAAAGGAGGUACAGCUCCUUUGAAUAAAGAUACAACUUUAAAAGAAGGUUAAAGAUCAUA
rnacentral:rRNA from 1 species